AAAAAAAGUUUAAUCUGAAAUUUAUAUAAAAAAACAAAAAUUGAAACUGCAAUGGAAAUUCCUUUAGAACAUCGAAGUGAUUCCAUGGUUCAAAAUCCUUCGUCAGAGAUAACAUCAACCAAUAGUAUGUUGUGUUUUUGCUGUUCUUGGACCUAUAUCUACAUGGGUAGGAUUAAAAGAGUUUCAAAUAAAUCCAAGGAAGGAUAUGGCCCACCAAUUGAAUGAUUCAGAAUGUGUUGCUACAAUCCAUAAGAGGAUUG
rnacentral:misc_RNA from 1 species